rnacentral:ncRNA from 1 species
AAAUAAAUUUUUAUAGUUUAUAAAAUUUAUUAUAAAUUUAUUUUACAUACAAAUUUUAGUAUGAAUUUUUAAUUAUUUUAAUAAUAAUUAAUAAUUUUAGUAGUAAUUAAAUUUAAAAAUUUAAGAAAUUAAGAUUUAGUAAUAUUUAAAUUGAUAACAAAUUUUGUGCCAGCAGUUGCGGUUAUACAAAAAUUGAAUUAAAUUUUUUCAGUAUAUAAUAAAUAAUAAUAAAUUAUUAAAAUAAAUGUUAAAUUAUUAGGUGAAAUUUUAAUUUAAUAAAAUUUUAUAGAAAAAUUAUGAUUUAAUAAAUUUAUAAAUAAACUAGGAUUAGAUACCCUACUAUAAAAUUUUAAUUAUGAAUACUAAAAUAGUAGAUAAUAAUUUAUUGAAACUUAAAUAAUUUGGCGGUAUUUUAGUUCAUUUAGAGGAAUCUGUUUAAUAAUUGAUAAUCCACGAAUAAAUUUACUUAAUUUAAAAUUUUGUAUAUCGUUGUUAAAAAAAUAUUUUUAAAUAAAAAUAAUAUUUUAAAAUUUUAAAAAAAGUUAAUUCAGAUCAAGAUGCAGAUUAUAAUUAAGAAUAUAAUGGAUUACAAUAAAUUUAUUUAAACGGAAAUAUAUUUUGAAAAAAUAAUUAAAGGUGGAUUUAAAUGUAAUUUUAUUUAAUUUAAUAAAAUGAUUAAUAAUUAAAAUAUGUACAUAUUGCCCGUCACUUUCAUUUAAAAAUUGAAAUAAGUCGUAACAAAGUAGAGGUACUGGAAAGUGUUUCUAGAAUGA